ensembl:lncRNA
GAAGAACUGGAAGUUUUUUUCACCAAUGUGCUGAUGAAGAAAAUGGUAACACCUGAAGAUAUAGAAGGCAGAACAAGGAACUCCUACAUGCUUCAGCUACAGCUUGUACUAAGUGAUUUAUGCAUAAGAUAGCACAUCCUGUUACGCUUCAGGAAAGAAGAAUAUUGGUUGUAUGAGAGAGUUCUGAAAAUGGGGCUGUGAUCCACUCACAGGCCAGCUACCUUAUUCAAAUCCUUUGAAGCUCUGUGUGAUUUCUGAAUGGAAUUUCUCUGCUCCCAGGUGGUUGACAUUGCUUUAAGCAAGUCCCAAGUCUUGCUAGGAGCGAGAGGCUAAAACUGCCUCCUGGGCAGGCUGCUGACCUGGAAUGGCUUCAUUUCCUUGAUCUGGCACAGUUUUCCUCUGCAGUUUUGAACAUAUCAUUUAAUUGCUAAAAGCCUGAAUUUUCUUAUCUGUACACUGUCAAGAGAUAACAGUGCCUCCUUGCAUCCGUAUCCAUUGUAUCAGUAGAAGGAGGUGCACUCAAGUUUGCUUGGCAAAACAAAGACCUUGUUGUCUCAGAAGGGCUCAAUCUCUGCAUACCAUCAGCUCUGGUGUCUUGUCCAGUGUGUGUAGAGGCACUCAGACGGAUUUUUAGAAGUUAAUUACAAAUUUUCUUGACUGUUUAGAGGCAGGAAGAUAAGAAAUAGUUCCGUGUAAUAUUCUUCUCUACUCUAAAGGCUCCUUUAAAAUUGUCCACAGCAAUGGUAUUUUUUAAAUGCUUUUCUAAGAUUUUCCUACUUAUAACUAAUGUUUACUUACGUGGAAUAGAAUGAUUUUUUUCUUUAGUUGUAAUCUGGCACUACUCUAUUAGAUUAUAUUUCCUAGGAUACAUUCCCACAUAAAGAAUUAUAAAUGCUCAUUCAUGACCAGAAUAAAAUUCAGGUACCUGUAUUGUUUUCAAACUUGGGUGAGAAAAGAGCUGAAGAAAAAGCCCUAAGAGUUGAGUGCUAGAGUGCCAUCUAGUGCUCCGUUAAUCAACACAUCUACUGGAACCUCUACGUUUUCCCUGCUCGCUCUUACGCCUGUUCUCAAAGGGCUUACUUGGAAAAGCUUAUUGCAAGUUCUGAAGGUUAUUAAUUGUUGAUGAUUGAGCCUUCUUCUGGCUCAUGCUGAGCAAUGGCAUGGAGGAGAAAGCUGAAACCAUUUUCCCAUGAACUUUACAUGUUCUGGGUGAAUUUACAGUGAGAUUCUUGAGUUGCAAAGAUAUGUAUGUGUAGCGUAUAUGUAUAUAUGAGAAGUCACGGUCAGUUAAACUUAAAGGCUCUGAUUCUUCAUAAUGGUGAUUGAAAAUUAAGAGAUUAUGAUAUACUGAUGCAGCAGCAGCGUGAAUAAAAGGAGAAUAAAACUACAAUGCUUCAAUUAAAAUUAACCUAGGAGUUUGGAAGCUAAUACAAACUAGAGGAACCUUCUGAAUCUGUAGUAUAAUCUGGACUUCCAAGUUCUGCAACUUCUCUUGGUGUCUUGGUGGGUCUGUCCAUGAGCUCCUUACAAAGAAACUAUUGAAUUGGGAAAAUUUAAGUAAAUUAACAAAAAAAAAAAACCCACCCAACUUUAAAGAAAAAAAUAAAAAUAAACCAAUAUUAGUUUAGCAGUUGCUUAAGUUAUUGUACACGGAUUAAUUCAAAUUUAAAUUUAUUUAUUUUGUGGGUGAAAUAAUGAGCUAGACAUGACUUAAGGGUAUGAGAUGAGUACCUGGACUUAGAUAAUCACAGAGAUGUUCGUUCAGAUCUGCAAUCAGGAUGUGAUAUCACUGUGACAGUACUAAUUUCAAAUAACUUUGAACUUUUUUUUUAGUUAAUGCUGUUGUUCAUGGUGAUGGAACUGGUGGUGCAUUUAAAGCAGAAUCUUAAAAAAUUGUAUAGACAUGACUAUUUCUGUGGAGUCAAUUUCUUUCUUUUUGAAAGAAAUUAAAAUGGAAGAAAAAU